ensembl:lncRNA
AGAUUUAUAAUCUUUAUUGUUUACUUACAUAUAAUAAAUAUAAUACAGAACAAAAACAUCACACCCAUUGAUUGUAUUACACAGGCUGUUCAUCAAAACACAUUACAUUUUCUUUUCAUGAGCCCUUUUGUAGGGUUUUGGUAUUGGAUAUUAAGAAUUUCAAUUUCUAAACCUAUCGACACAAAAACAAUCUUCCAAUUUUCACCUUUACACAUUUCAAGUUUCACAUAUAUACUGGUUUCGUUAGAAACACAUAAGCACUGUUCAAUAUUUGCAAUACAGGCCUGUAAUUUCCAUUCAUUAGGUCUCUAUUAAUAUAGAAAAUUUAAAAAUAAUUAAUAGCUUAAAUCUGAUUUUAAUUAAAAAUACUUAUUCUAUAUUUCUCAUUUAACUGACACCCCCUGAAAAUGAAGUGACAGGACAAAGACACUCUGGGCAAAAGCCCAUGUUCAUUUUUAAAAAACAAAGGGUAAAAGUUCUGGUACUUGCUUCACCUCUGUAAUUCUGGCAUAAGGAAGGAAUCCAUUUGGUAUAAAGAGGGGAAAAAAAACAGAAUGCCUUUCUGAGGAGACAUGCAUCUUCAUUUCAGAUUUACUAGUGCCAUCCUGCCGUUUUCUUGGCUUAAAAUCGCUGCAUCAAGCCAUGAUUAUAUGUUUUUCCCUGCAUGAAUAUACUUAUCAUUAAAUGGAAAUUAGAUAAAAAUGCUACUUUUCUUUGUUUAUCAAAAAUAGAUCAAGGCUUAACACACUCUGAAAUCAGGUAUUUAAGCACAAAUGCAAUACACAUCAGCAAUUCACAUCCUGGUCUCACUAGGGAAAAUGGUUAAAAUAUUAUGUUUAAGAGAUGCUUCAUAGAGAAUAUACACCUGGAACUAGCCGUGCUCUCAGAAUAUCUGAAUUAACAGCAAACAGUACAGACUUCAUGCAAACAAAAGUUUUCUUCGGUUGAAAGUUCUUCAGUUAAAGCAGCUUUUACUUUAAAAGUGUUAUUCAGAAUUCACUGAAAUUUAGCACAAAAUGUAAUGCCAAGACGACCAUCAAAACUACUAACAGUUGGUUUUCUGCAUCUCUUCAUGCACGCUAGCUCAAGAAGUUUCAUAAAUCAACCUUCAUAAACAAAUCAGGAAAGUUUCAUGAACAAUUUUUGUUUUACUAAUACUCACUCCAAAGAGAACUUUCACAAACUUUAAAUCAUUACAAGGACCCCUUCAGCUGUACAGUGCUGACAUUGCAUAGCACGCUCAUUACAUUUCUCUAAUUCCGCUCAGAUAACACCAACUUGAACAACUGGCUGAGCUUUCAAUAGAGUUUUGUGUGAACAGCCUCUCACAAUCUUCAGUUAAUAGAGCACUCACUUGCAACUGGAUGGUACGUGGGGCUUUUACACACUUCACAAAAAACCUCAAAACCCUCAACCUAAAACCCCCAAAAUACAGACAAGAAACUCCUUAGUAUGUACACUUGCUAAAUAGAAUGUUUUUCCACGUGUUUUUUGAUUUUCUUUCCCCUACAAUCACAAGACUUAAUUUAAGCAUUCCAGUUCAAUAUGGAAUUAUUUAAAACACCUACUUUCUGUAUUUGCUGAAGAUCAGAGAGAUCAAUCCAAUACACUAUUGACUAAGCACUUCCUGUAUGUAGCUGGGCUAUGUAAGAUAUUACCCUGACAAUUUUACAGCUGAUCCCAUGUGCUGCCCAGGAAGAUUAUUUUCAAUGAAGAUUUUUGUUUUGGUUUAAAGUGUUUGGUUCUUUUUCUUCUCUCGUAGGGAAGGGAUACUGCUUGGCUGGAAAGCCCCUGCUCUUCCCCUGGCUAGGGAAAAAGAAGGAGACUCUAAAAAUAUUUUAGAAGUUAUUCAGGUAGAGGAACUCGUUUAAUUGGCAUGCAGAAGGUCAGAUUUAGGUAGAAGCAUCACCUAUAACACAGAAAAGGAAGAAAAGACUUAUGGGCUAACAAUAUCAGUAAUAUAUUGAAGGAUAUCCCUAAUGAAAACACAGUAAUUCGCAUAUAAUAAAAUAUUUUCUAUGCUAAAUCGCUAAUUUCCUCAGCUUGCUAAGUAAGGAAUCUGGUGUUGGUUGGUUUAAAAAAAAAAAAAAAAAAAAAAAAGGAAAAAAGGCGGAAAAACUGCUGGAACAUAUGUGAGGAACUACAGAAACAUCCCUGAAUUCUUAUUUCUGAGCCAUUCCAGUAUCCAGUCAUAUUUCUUCUGUGGAACAUAUACAAAAUUUGUGCACCUUCCCUGACAAAACACUCAAAAGUUCAUUAAAAAAAGAACACUAGAUGCAACUUUAUAAACGGAGAUGCAGCUAAAGAACUCUGCGCUUGUAGAACCGAACAGUUGCUUUAUACAAAAUUCCUCAGAGAAAAGCCUUUUACGCUUUUUAAAAGCAGGGUAUGAAAACCAGAUGAAAUUGUGGAUGCGUUCCACAUCACAGGCGGCAUUCUGGAAAGUAUGGUAACCUACUAGUACUGGAUGUAACAACGCAAUAUUUCAGGGGAGAGUGAGAACACAGGUAACCA